rnacentral:rRNA from 1 species
UACGGGGGGACCAAGCGUUGUUCGGAUUUACUGGGCGUAAAGGGCGCGUAGGCGGCAUGACAAGUCACUUGUGAAAUCUCUGGGCUUAACUCAGAACGGCCAAGUGAUACUGUCGCGCUAGAGUGCAGAAAGGGCAAUCGGAAUUCUUGGUGUAGCGGUGAAAUGCGUAGAUAUCAAGAGGAACACCUGAGGCGAAGGCGGGUUGCUAGGCUGACACUGACGCUGAUGCGCGAAAGCCAGGGGAGCAAACGGG